AGCUCCAAUAGCGUAUAUUAAAGUUGUUGCAGUUAAAAAGCUCGUAGUUGGAUUUCUGGUAGGAGCGACCAUACCGAGCUUGAUUGUUCGUGUAAUGUGUUUCUCCAGCCAUCCUCGUGGAGAGUGUUUCUGGCAUUAAUUUGUUGGAGGCAGGACCCGCGUCGUUUACUGUGAAAAAAUUAGAGUGUUCAAAGCAGGCAAUUGGCUUGAAUAUAUUAGCAUGGAAUAAUAAGAUAGGACUUUGGUGCUAUUUUGUUGGUUUGCACAUCAAGGUAAUGAUUAAUAGAAUCAGUCGGGGAUAUUCGUAUGCAAAUGUCAGAGGUGAAAUUCUUGGAUUUUUUACAGACGAACUACUGCGAAAGCAUUUAUCAAGGAUGUUUUCAUUAAUCAAGAACGAAAG
rnacentral:rRNA from 1 species